rnacentral:SRP_RNA from 1 species
CUGUGCUAGACGGGGAACUAGCGGUGCCCUGUAACCUGCAAUCCGCUACAGCAGGGUCGAAUUCCCUUUGUGAGGUCCUUUUCCAUGCCGGGAAUUUAUUGGCGAUCAAUGAUGAAAGCCCGAGCUCUACGCAAUGAGAGGCUUCUGAACCCCGUCAGGCCCGGAAGGGAGCAGCGGUAGGAAGACCCAUCAUGUGCCGUAGAUGGCUUGGCUGGAGUUGACCGCUGAUGAGUUCAUCGGAGAAUGGAGGGAUCGAGCAGGGGUGCACAG